rnacentral:rRNA from 1 species
ACUCAAAGGAAUUGACGGGGACCCGCACAAGCAGCGGAGCAUGUGGUUUAAUUCGAAGAUACGCGAAAAACCUUACCAAGACUUGACAUCCUUUGCAUAGCCCCGAAAUGGGUGAAUUUGUUAGCAAUAACAACAAAGUGACAGAUGGUGCAUGGUUGUCGUCAGCUCGUGUCGUGAGAUGUUCGGUUAAGUCCGAUAACGAGCGCAACCCUUGUCUUUAGUUGCCAGCAUUAAGUUGGGCACUCUAGAGAGACUGCCGUGGAUAACACGGAGGAAGGUGGGGAUGACGUCAAAUCAUCAUGCCUCUUACGUCUUGGGCUACACACGUGCUACAAUGGUGACUACAAAGAGUUCCGAACUGGUAACAGGGGGGCAAUCUCAAAAAAGUCAUCUCAAUUCGGAUUGUGGGCUGCAACUCGCCCACAUGAAGUCGGAGUUGCUAGUAAUGGCGAAUCAGCAUGUCGCCGUGAAUGCGUUCCCGGGUCUUGUACACACCGCCCGU